rnacentral:pre_miRNA from 1 species
CUUGUACUCCCUCUGCCCGAAAAUACUUGUCAUUGAAAUGGAUGUAUCUAUAUGUAUUUUAGUUCUAGACACAUCCAUUUUGAUGACAAGUAAUUCCGGACAGAGGGAGUACUUG